GCCUUGUAAUAUCUGGGAUGAUUGUUGCUCUUGUAAAGCGAAGGGGGUGAUAAAAACUUCACCACGAGGUA
rnacentral:tRNA from 1 species